rnacentral:rRNA from 1 species
UGAGGAAUAUUGGUCAAUGGGCGGGAGCCUGAACCAGCCAUGUCGCGUGCAGGAUGACGGCCCUACGGGUUGUAAACUGCUUUUUUACGGGAAGAAUCGCUUCGACGUGUCGAAGUUUGCCGGUACCGUAGGAAUAGGCAUCGGCUAACUCCGUGCCAGCAGCCGCGGUAAUACGGAGGAUGCGAGCGUUAUCCGGAUUUAUUGGGUUUAAAGGGUGCGUAGGCGGAACUUCAAGUCAGCGGCGAAAGUCUGCAGCUCAACUGUAGUUGUGCCGUUGAAACUGAAUUUCUUGAGUGUAGAUGAGGUAGGCGGAAUGAGUAGUGUAGCGGUGAAAUGCAUAGAUAUUACUCAGAACACCGAUUGCGAAGGCAGCUUACUAAACUACAACUGACGCUGAUGCACGAGAGCGUGGGUAUCAAACAGGAUUAGAUACCCUGGUAGUCCACGCAGUAAACGAUGAUUACUGGUUGUUUGGUCGAGAGAGACAAAGCGACUGCGCGAAAGCAUUAAGUAAUCCACCUGGGGAGUACGUCGGCAACGAUG